rnacentral:rRNA from 1 species
AUGACCAUGGAUGCACCUGAGAUGUGUUAUGUUGACCUCCUCCACCAAGACAUCCAGGCAAACAUCUUCUCAUGCCUGCCGGAUCCGACAAGCAUUGCCCACUCUAUGCUAGCUUGCAAAACAUGGUGCCAUUUGAUCACCGACCGUGGCAUCCUUCGCCGUCACCGACCACCUAUGCUCUGUGGCAUUUUUCAAGAGGUCUUCUCACCAGAAGAGUUGGCUAUUCGCUCCAUAUUCUUUAGUCCCAUCGACCAAAUUGCAUCACCCGAACUCGCCGAGAAGACCAACAACAUCCAAGCGAACAAUCCACUGUCUCUACCCAGUGGCCCGUGGUCCAUCGUGGACUCCUUGGAGAACCUUCUCCUCCUUUGCCAUGAACGACUCAUCAUUCACGAGUCGGUCAUGCUCGCGAUAUACAACCCUGUCACCCAUGACUUGCAGGCACUCCCUCCAGUGGUAAACAACCAGUAUUGCUUCUUCUUCGGCGCUGCCAUCUUCAGUGAUGAUGCACUAGCUGCCAAUAAUAGGCGUCUGCUCAGACCUGGAGCCUCAGAUGUGUCGUUCAAGGUGGUGUGUGUGGUGGCGGUACCUGGUGACCACCAUGGUGAGUGGAUCUACCAGACGUUUGUGCACUCGGGUGGCUCCGCUGGUGACAGCAGCUGGAGCACCCUUCCUUAUCGGGCCAGCAGUAUGAGGACCCGCGGCUGGUGCAUUGGUGGUACUCAUGGUGGACAGGCAGCUCGGGCUGGCGCCGCGCUGUUCAAGAGUAUUGGAUGCAUGCACAUGACGGAUGUCAUGAUGAUGUUGAUGCUGGAUAUGCGCACAGGGGGGGCUUCUUUGUUGGUGACGCCGAAGUGUGGCGCGUUCGUGGAUUAUGGCAGGGGAGACGACGAGAAGCUUUGGUUCGUCUGCAUAAAUAAGUUCCUUGUGCUCCGGCUCUACAGCCUACCGAAGCCGCGAGAGGGCAGUAUUACGCGUGUCUUCAAACAGUGCAACCUGGAAAGAGAAGUGGAGCUAUAUCCGAUCAUCACGGGGCUGGUCGCGGACGUUGAUGCGGCCGAUGUCGUCGGGAGCGCUAGCAACGUGCAUUCACGAAAUGGGUACGUCUUCUUCAAGAUAAUCUUCAAGAUGGACAAGUACGACUAUUUUGCGGUGCAUCUCCGGAGCAUGCGUGUGCAGCGGCCGAACGGGGAAUACCGGGGCUCUCUCUAUCCCUUCAUGUGUCGUGAGGAUUCGUAA